rnacentral:rRNA from 1 species
GACGAACGCUGGCGGCGUGCUUAACACAUGCAAGUCGAACGAUGACGACCGAGCUUGCUCGGUCUGAUUAGUGGCGCACGGGUGAGUAACACGUGAGCAACCUGCCCUUCACUCUGGGAUAACCCCGGGAAAUCGGGGCUAAUACAGGAUAUGAGCUCCUGUAGCAUGGCGGGCGUUGGAAAGUGUUUCGGUGGAGGAUGGGCUUGCGGCUAAUCGGUUUGUUUGUGAGGUAGGGGCACACCAAGGCGAUGCCGGGUAGCCGACCUGAGAGGGCAACCGGGCACACGGGGACUGAGGGACGGAGCAGACGCCAACGGGAGGCAGCGGGGGGGAAUAUUGCACAAUGGGCGAGCGCCUGAUGCAGCGACGCCGCGUUAGGGAUGACGGCCUUCGGGGUGUAAACCUCUUUCAGCAGAGAAGAAGCGAAAGUGACGGUACCUGCAGAAGAAGCGCCGGCUAACUACGUG